GAAGAGAGAGAGAGAGAGAAAAAAAAAAAAAAAUCACACAAUGAUAUAUUUCAGUAAGGCAUCGAUUCGUAUUUUCUACAAUC
rnacentral:ribozyme from 14 species